UAACUGAAGAGUUUAAUCAUGGCUCAGAUUGAACGCUGGCGGCAGGCUUAACACAUGCAAGUCGAGCGGGGGAAGUUGCUUCGGUAAUUGACCUAGCGGCGGACGGGUGAGUAAUACUUAGGAAUCUGCCUAUUAAUGGGGGACAACAUCUCGAAAGGGAUGCUAAUACCGCAUACGCCCUACGGGGGAAAGCAGGGGAUCA
rnacentral:rRNA from 1 species